rnacentral:lncRNA from 1 species
CGAGCGGAAGGGCUCUCUUUCUUAUUAGAUAUUUUCUUUACUUACAUUUCAAAUGUUAUCCCCUCUCCUGGUUUCUCCUCCAAAAACCCCCUAUAUAAUCCUCCUCCCCCCACUCACCAAAGCAGCUAUUCCACAUUCCCCGUCCUGGCAUUCAGGGACUACACUGGGGCAGGCAUUGAGCCUUCACAAGACCAAGGGACUCUCCUCCCAUUGAUGAAAUAAGAUUUAUAGUAUUCCAUUGUGUCUGUGCUUCAUUACAAUGUGAAUUCAAGAGACCUCGGAGGACAGGAUACUAUGUGAAAUUUCCUGGGACUGGAGAUAGUUGAGGUUGUGAAUUCUCCUAAGAUGAUUGCUGGAAACUGAACUCAGGACUUCUAGGAGAACUACAAGUACUCAUAACUACUGAGACAUCCUUCUGUCACAUUUCUGUACUGUUACCUUUGUGAUUCCAGUUGGCCCUUGACUCUAACUUCUAGAUGACAAUCUGCUUUACAGUCCAUUGUAAUUAGAGCUUUUUGAAGACAGAAAUUUGCCUGCCUUUCUGGGAAGAUCUAGUGCCUGGCAAACUCUCAAUAUGUGGGUGAAUGAAUGAAUGAAUGAAUGAAUGAAUAAAUAAAUGAAUAUACCAAAUCACUGCCUUUAGAGGCAGAUCAGGUUGUAACUUAGUGGGAGAUUGAUUAGUUGCCAUAAAAAAGUCCCUGAUAGCACACACACAAAAAUUGAACUAUACUCUCAUCUUCACUGAGUCUGAGAUGUUCCUAUUUCUCCAUCACCGAGAGUAACCUGGUUCUAUUGCAAACACUAAUGGCCCCUCAACGUCAUUCCUGUUGCAAUGCAGGAAAAGAAAUGUUUAGCUUGAGAUAUCAAAGGCUGCCAAUUUUAACCAAUCUGUGACUGUGAGAGCUUUGGGCUAUGAACAGCAAGACAUUUUCAUGGUCUAUGAACUGGGAGUUCAUGGUCUACUCUUUCAUGUAGGUAGUUACAGUCAUGAAGGUACCAAACUUACCUUCAGCUAACAUGCAAUUUUGUUUUGUCAUUUCUGUUGGCACUCACUUGGUUCCAGGUUCAAUAUUUAUAAAAUACUAAGCCAUUCAUUGUGACACUUUAUAAAAUGAGAGUGAUGUUCACAGUUUUUAAGAUACAAACAGCCUGUGUAUGUGAGAGGCUUUGAUGAUUUCACCAUGAUAACAAGUUUGUAUAUUGAAUUUUAGGCUCACAAGUUAAUGUCACCCUCUGUUGAAGUCACUUACUUUGAAGAACUUGGGUAACAGAGAUGUUUAGGUAACAGGGAAACGAUGGCCCCCUGGGGUCCUCUGAUACUUGCAAAGACCUCUUUCAUCCAGGAUUGUUCUCUCUGACCUCCACCCCCCAAUACAUUCUCUUAGGAAACUAGACAGAAGAUGACUCAGUCAGAUGAAGGUGGAGCUCAGUUCCCUUAGAUGAUGGACUUCUUGUGCUGGGUGAGACAAUAAGUCUUUAUCACAUGUGAGCUGAGCUGCAGAGAUGGAUGGUACAGGCAUGGGAGUUGAAGUUUUUUUUCAAAUGUCUCUCAAUUCCUGUGGCACUACAAUUCUGUGUCCCUCUAGCUUCACUGAUCAAUACUGAUUAGUUUAGGCCAGCUUUCCGCCAAGUCUUACUGUUCAAAGUUGUCUUACAGAAUAAAACUUCCCAUAAAGCUUCCUGUGCAGUACCUACAGACUGUGUAAACAAAAUUCUCACACAUCAGAUCUGGUGCAUGACUGGAAUUCAUCCAGCUACCCAUGUUGAACCAUAAUAUGGUCCAAUAUUUCCAAGUGUUUGAUGGUGACUGGCAUGAGCCACAGGGCCUCAAAGGCAAAGGAUGAAGCUCAGAAUGAUCUAGGAGAAUGAAGAGUUAGGGCUACAUGCAUGCUUAAAACAGACCCACUGUUUUUACCACUGUCCUAUAAUGCCUUUUGUCAAACAGGUAGCAUCAGAUAUUUUCUGAAAUGCAGAUAGCUGGUUUAUUUCUUUAAAAUUUUUUUGUUUAGUUAUUUUGAUUUUAUGCUUAUCUCUACACAGCAUGCAUGCCUGGUGUCCACAAAAUUCAGUCCACACUGGGUUCCAUGGAACCAGAUUUACAGAUGUUUAUGAGCUUCCAUGGGAGGUCUAGAAAGUGAACUUGGAUCUUCUACAAGAGCUCCCUGUGACCUG